rnacentral:rRNA from 1 species
UUUUUCGAGAGUUUGAUCCUGGCUCAGGAUGAACGCUGGCUGUGUGCCUAAUACAUGCAUGUCGAGCGAAGUACUUCUGUACUUAGCGGCGAAUGGGUGAGUAACACGUACUCAACGUACCCUUCAGAUUGGGAUAGCGGUUGGAAACAACCGAUAAUACCAAAUACUUGUAAUUAUCGCAUGAUGAUUACAUAAAAGGCGCGUUUGCGCCACUGGAGGAGCGGGGUGCGUAACAUUAGCUUGUUGGUGAGGUAACGGCCCACCAAGGCGAUGAUGUUUAGCGGGGUUGAGAGACUGAACCGCCACACUGGGACUGAGAUACGGCCCAGACUCCUACGGGAGGCAGCAGUAGGGAAUAUUCCACAAUGGACGAAAGUCUGAUGGAGCGACACAGCGUGCAGGAUGAAGGCCCCAUGGGUUGUAAACUGCUGUGGUAAGGGAAUAAAAAAUAGCAUAGGAAAUGAUGCUACAUUGAAUGUACCUUAUUAGAAAGCAACGGCUAACUAUGUGCCAGCAGCCGCGGUAAUACAUAGGUUGCAAGCGUUAUCCGGAAUUAUUGGGCGUAAAGCGUCUGUAGGUUGUUUAUUAAGUCUGGCGUUAAAUUUUGGGGCUCAACCCCAAACCGCGUUGGAUACUGGUAAACUAGAGUUAUGUAGAGGUUAGCGGAAUUCCUUGUGAAGCGGUGAAAUGCGUAGAUAUAAGGAAGAACACCAACAUGGCGAAGGCAGCUAACUGGACAUACACUGACACUGAGAGACGAAAGCGUGGGGAGCAAACAGGAUUAGAUACCCUGGUAGUCCACGCCCUAAACGAUGAUCAUUAGCUGAUGGGGAACUCAUCGGCGCAGCUAACGCAUUAAAUGAUCCGCCUGAGUAGUACGUUCGCAAGAAUAAAACUUAAAGGAAUUGACGGGGACCCGCACAAGCGGUGGAGCAUGUGGUUUAAUUUGAAGAUACGCGUAGAACCUUACCCACUCUUGACAUCUCCGUGCAUGGUUGUCGUCAGCUCGUGUCGUGAGAUGUUCGGUUAAGUCCUGCAACGAGCGCAACCCCUAUCCUUAGUUACUAACAUUUAGUUGAGCACUCUAAGGAGACUGCCCGAGUAAUCGGGAGGAAGGUGGGGACGACGUCAAAUCAUCAUGCCUCUUACGAGUGGGGCAACACACGUGCUACAAUGGCCGAUACAAAGUGAAGCAACCCAGCGAUGGUGAGCAAACCACAAAAAAUCGGUCUCAGUUCGGAUUGGAGUCUGCAACUCGACUCCAUGAAGUCGGAAUCGCUAGUAAUCGUAGAUCAGCUACGCUACGGUGAAUACGUUCUCGGGUCUUGUACACACCGCCCGUCAAACCAUGGGAGCUGGUAAUGCCCGAAGUCGGUUUAUUAACAAACUGCCUAAGGCAGGACUGGUGACUGGGGUUAAGUCGUAACAAGGUAUCCCUACGAGAACGUGGGGAUGGAUCACCUCCUUU